UACGGAGGGGGCUAGCGUUGUUCGGAAUUACUGGGCGUAAAGCGCACGUAGGCGGCUUUGUAAGUUAGAGGUGAAAGCCCAGGGCUUAACCCUGGAAUUGCCUUUAAGACUGCAUCGCUAGAAUUGUGGAGAGGUAAGUGGAAUUCCGAGUGUAGAGGUGAAAUUCGUAGAUAUUCGGAAGAACACCAGUGGCGAAGGCGGCUCUCUGGUCUGUAACUGACGCUGAGGCGCGAAAGCGUGGGGAGCGAACAGG
rnacentral:rRNA from 1 species